GUCAGAAUGUCGCAAAUGGUAGACGAGUCAGGGGGCAUGCAGUAAAAAAGACCUGAUGUUUAUAGGUUCGAAUCCUAUUUCUGACACCA
rnacentral:tRNA from 1 species